rnacentral:lncRNA from 1 species
UUGUGGCUAACACAAUCAGUCCAAUCAUUAUGAACACUUAAACAUUGGACUCCAGCUUUCUACAUGAAAAUCUGGAAGGGCCCACUGUUUAUUCCAAUAUACAAGCCCCAUAUUUCAUGUAUAUGAUCUCAUUUAACUAAACACUUGAACGGUUGAACCUGGUAUAUAACAUGGCCCAUAUAGCACAAUUAAAUAAUCCCCGCAUGAUUUUCGGCCCAACCAACGUUAAAACCCCAUGAGAUUCAUAUAAUUCUUUAAUUAAAAUAGUAGCAACCUAAAGUAAUUUGUUUUUUUUUUUUUU